rnacentral:rRNA from 1 species
GACGAACGCUGGCGGCGUGCUUAACACAUGCAAGUCGAACGAAGUGGCGAACGGGUGAGUAACGCGUAAUCAACCUGCCGUUCAGAGGGGGACAACAGUUGAAAACGAAUGCAAAUACCGCAUAGUGACUGGGGGGAUUGCGUGGGAUUGGCUAGUUGGAGGGGUAACGGCCUACCAAGGCGAUGAUCAGUCGCCGGUCUGAGAGGAUGAACCGCCAAAAUGGGAAUUGGACACGGCCCAGAAUCCUACGGGAGGGAGCAGUGGGGAAUCUUCGGCAAUUGAGGAAAGGCUGACGGAGGAAAGCCGCGGGAGUGAUGACGGCCUUCGGGUUGUAAAGGUCUGUUAAUCGGGACGCGGUACCGGAAUAGAAAGCCACGGCUAACUACGUGCCAGCCGCCGCGGUAAUAC